rnacentral:rRNA from 1 species
AUUCCAGCUCCAAUAGCGUAUAUUAAAGUUGUUGCAGUUAGAACGCUCGUAGUCGGAUUUCGGGGCGGGCCGACCGGUCUGCCGAUGGGUACGCACUGGUCGGCGCGUCCUUCCUUCCGGAGACCGUGCCUACUCUUAACUGAGCGGGGGCGGGAGACGGAUCGUUUACUUUGAAAAAAUCAGAGUGUUUCAAGCAGGCAGCUCGCUCUUGCAUGGAUUAGCAUGGGAUAAUGAAAUAGGACUUUGGUGCUAUUUUGUUGGUUUCGAACACCGAAGUAAUGAUUAAAAGGGACAGUCAGGGGCACUCGUAUUCCGCCGAGAGAGGUGAAAUUCUCAGACCAGCGGAAGACGAACCACUGCGAAAGCAUUUGCCAGGGAUGUUUUCAUUA